UGGCUAACUUCAGCCCUGAGGGCCUGAGAAA
rnacentral:piRNA from 1 species